rnacentral:rRNA from 1 species
CCUACGGGAGGCAGCAGUGAGGAAUAUUGGUCAAUGGGCGCAAGCCUGAACCAGCCAAGUCGCGUGAGGGAUGACGGUCCUAUGGAUUGUAAACCUCUUUUGUCGGGGAGCAAGGCCCGCCACGUGUGGCGGGAAGGAGAGUACCCGAAGAAAAAGCAUCGGCUAACUCCGUGCCAGCAGCCGCGGUAAUACGGAGGAUGCGAGCGUUAUCCGGAUUUAUUGGGUUUAAAGGGUGCGUAGGCGGAAGGUUAAGUCAGCGGUAAAAUGUCGGGGCCCAACACCGGCCUGCCGUUGAAACUGGUCUUCUUGAGUGAGCGAGAAGUAUGCGGAAUGCGUGGUGUAGCGGUGAAAUGCAUAGAUAUCACGCAGAACUCCGAUUGCGAAGGCAGCAUACCGGCGCUCAACUGACGCUGAGGCACGAAAGCGUGGGGAUCGAACAGGAUUAGAUACCCGAGUAGUC